rnacentral:rRNA from 1 species
UGUUCUCUAAAUAAGGACUAGUAUCAACGGCAUCACGAGGGCUACACUGUCUCCUUUCUCCAAUCAGUGAAACUGAUCUCCCCGUGAAGAAGCGGGAAUAAAAAUAUAAGACGAGAAGACCCCAUGGAGCUUCAAGCACCGUAUUCAUCUACUUUUUUCCACAGCAACUUAACUUUAAACCUGAAUACUAGCUUUUGGCUGGGGGGGCCGCGGAGUACAACCUAACCUCCGCAACAAAUGGGCUACGCCCUUAUCUAUGAAUUACCACUCUAAGAAUUAACAAAUUAAUGUACUUUGACCCGACUAAUCGAUCAACGAACCAAGUUACCCUGGGGAUAACAGCGCUAUCUACUUCAAGAGCUCAUAUCGACAAGUAGGUUUACGACCUCGAUGUUGGAUCAGGGUAUCCCAGUGGUGCAGCCGCUA